rnacentral:rRNA from 1 species
AUUGAACGCUGGCGGCAGGCCUAACACAUGCAAGUCGGGCGAGUGGCGGACGGGUGAGUAAUGUAUGGGGAUCUGCCUGAUGGAGGGGGAUAACUACUGGAAACGGUAGCUAAUACCGCAUACCAUCAGAUGUACCCAGAUGGGAUUAGCUUGUAGGUGAGGUAACGGCUCACCUAGGCGACGAUCCCUAGCUGGUCGGAGAGGAUGACCAGCCACACUGGGACUGAGACACGGCCCAGACUCCUACGGGAGGCAGCAGUGGGGAAUAUUGCACAAUGGGCGCAAGCCGGAUGCAGCCAUGCCGCGUGUAUGAAGAAGGCCUUCGGGUUGUAAAGUACUUUCAGUCGGGAGGCGUUACCGACAGAAGAAGCACCGGCUAACUCCGUGCCAGCCGCCGCGGUAAUUC